GUCUGUACUAUUACGCGUAAUAGCUCUGUAUCUGGGCGGCUUGAGAAGGAGCUGACGAGCUCGGACUUCUCCCCCGCCACCCUGGGGGACGCCUCAGGGAU
rfam:Dipodomys ordii contig_56909, whole genome shotgun sequence.